rnacentral:rRNA from 1 species
CGUGGAGUGAUUUGUCUGGUUUAUUCCGAUAACGAGCGAGAUUCUAAUCUACUAAAUAGUACACCCAUUGUCUUUGUGUGGUGUUACUUCCUAGAGAAAUAAUCGGUUUAAAGUCGCAUGAAAUUGAGCAAUAACAGGUCUGUGAUGCCCUUAGAUGUCCGGGGCUGCACGCGCGCUACACUAGUAGAGUCAGCGUGCGUUUCCUUUCUCGAAAGAGAUUGGUAAACCAGGGAAAGUUUGCUGUGAUUGGGAUCGGAAAUUGCAAUUAUUUUCUGUGAACGAGGAAUUCCAAGUAAGUGUGAGUCAUCAACUCGCGCUGAAUACGUCCCUGCCCUUUGUAC